GACGAACGCUGGCGGCGUGCUUAACACAUGCGAGUCGAACGGAAAGGCCCUGCUUUUGUGGGGUGCUCGAGUGGCGAACGGGUGAGUAACACGUGAGUAACCUGCCCUUGACUUUGGGAUAACUUCAGGAAACUGGGGCUAAUACCGGAUAGGAGCUCCUGCUGCAUGGUGGGGGUUGGAAAGUUUCGGCGGUGGGGGAUGGACUCGCGGCUUAUCAGCUUGUUGGUGGGGUAGUGGCUUACCAAGGCUUUGACGGGUAGCCGGCCUGAGAGGGUGACCGGCCACAUUGGGACUGAGAUACGGCCCAGACUCCUACGGGAGGCAGCAGUGGGGAAUAUUGCACAAUGGGCGGAAGCCUGAUGCAGCAACGCCGCGUGCGGGAUGACGGCCUUCGGGUUGUAAACCGCUUUCGCCUGUGACGAAGCGUGAGUGACGGUAAUGGGUAAAGAAGCACCGGCUAACUACGUG
rnacentral:rRNA from 1 species